UGUAUACAUUGAUCAUGUGGUUAUGGGAUUAAUUAUGCUACCUUGAUAAUUGCUAUCACAUGAUUAACUAUGCUAUCUACAUAUAAAAGCUAAAUGCAGUCAAACCAGUGUCAGCUAUUUGAGCCUCAUGAACCCCUGGUUAUACUUGUUGAGUACGAUAUGUGCUCACUCUUGCAAUUUCCCCCACACUUUAGGAGUUGUUUUAGGCUUGUGAUCAACCAGUCAGUUGGAUCCUGGAGAGAGGAGUUAAUACCCGAAGUUUGGAGUUGUCUAUCCGCUGUUUGCUAUUAAAGGUUAUCUCUUUUAUAUUAAAUACGUUAUAUAUUUAUGCAUUGUCUUUUGAUAUUACCCUUUAUUUGUAGCUAUAUGUGAGAAUUGACUUCUAAGACUCACAUAUGGUGCAUAUCUGGUUUUGUCCUUAAAAUCGGGAAUUACAAAGUGGUAUCAAAGCAAUGCUGACUGUAGGACGCAAGCCUAGUUAGAAAUUGGACGUCUUAAGGUUUUGGAAUUGCCAUAAAAUCCUUGCUCUAUAAACCUUGGUAUUUUCAUCCAUACUAUAUCCCUAUCCUCGCUAUUUGUCUCUACCUUGUUGUUUAUUUUAAAAGUACUUGUUCUCACCCUCACUGCUUGAUUUGAUAUGCUUUUAGAACCUUGUCUUACCACUUUCUGGCACCAUUGGAAUAGGAGUUUUAGAUCUUUACCCUUACUAUGAAGAGAACGAUAAUAUCGCAAGUUGAGUGAAGUGUGAACCUUCAAUGCUUAAUUGGUUGUUAUUAUGUUUAUGCUUGAUUUGGAUCUUUGUAAUGAGUGCAAUGAUCUUGUGGGAUUUCCUCACAAUUUCAUUAGUUCAUAGGCCUAAGGCAUAAGGAGUAAUGAAAUACGUAGUUGGGCUUGGUUAUAUCUGUUUCUGUCCUUUGCUGAUUUCUAGAGCAGUCUGCAAUGGUUCUGGUGUAUCUCAAGAUCUGAUUGUGAAAAGUUUAUCAAAUUUUUCUGGGCAUAACUAGACUUCAAGAUCUUUCACUGGACGCAAGAAUCACCCUCAUAGCUAUUAUAGUUUGGAAGAUACAAAAAUCACAAAUUGACACAGUUGUGCUGUCUAGAAUCUGGACCAGUUUCGGUUACUUACUGUUUUAGACAUAUAUAACUAUAGAAUUUGGAAAAGUGUUCUAUAGAAAAGUUGUAGAAAAUUUUCUAAUCUUUCCAACGGUAUAAGCUGGAACUUAUUUGGAUAAGAAGAACCUGAGGUAUGAUAUUUAAACUAUGAUGUUUCUGUUCUGUUUCAAAAUCUGGACAGAUUUGGUAUUCCCUAAUUUGAGAUAACUUAACAUCGGAAUCUGGGAAAAAGUUGUAUACGAAAGUUGUAGAUGAUUUCCUAAUCUUUCCAAAAAUAUAAGGAUCAUCUCCAGAUGAGUUAAGUAGCUCGAGAUAUAACUUCUGGAAGUUACUGCACGUUUGCUAAGACAUUGUCAGGAUGGAUUUUAAGUUUGGCUAUUUUACCUAAGCUUAAAGUCAGAACCUAAGGAGGUUUUCUACAUGAAAGAUGCUGGGAAUUUCAUAAGUUUUCUAACGGUAUAAUCUACAACUCUAUUGGAUUAACAGAAUAAGAGUUAUACCUGUUUUACUACGCCGGUGUUUUCAUAUGAAGAGGAAAAUUCUAGGAUACCUGUUUGUUCUCUUGCACAUAAGUUCUUGGGAUGUCAGAGGUUCUCAAUGUUAGUUAAAUUGUCUGGAAGACAGGCAAGCUACCUUUCUUUGCCCCCUAAUUGACUUUUCCUAAGGGGGGUAGCCUAGUUAAAGGAGUUACAAUGAAAAGAAUUAGUUAAUGUUGGAUCAAAUGUAAGGAUCACAAGUGCUUGGUAAAUUUGGUUUUGAUUCAAGAUAUCAUCCUAUUUAGAGAAUAUUAAUGGAGAUAUAUGUCAUUGCUGAUACCCAUGGAUUAAGAGUUAUGUUUAUGAGGAUCAGAUGACACCAAAGUCUACAAAGUUACAUAUACAAUAUGAGACUGAAGCAACUUAAUUGCGAUAAAGGUACCAACAGAUGGAACUUAGUGAUGAAACUAACUUUGGAUUAAGAGACUUGGUACAAGGAAUUUAAAAGACUAUGAUGUGUAGCGUCCAAAAAGGAUAGGAGAACUAGUCCUUAGUGUCCUCCAAUCAAUCUCAUUCUAAGGGGGGUAGCACCUUGAUAUUACGGGAUGAUGCAUUAUAAAACUAUCUUGAAGUGAUAAUUGUCUUCUGAGAUAUUCUAUGAUAUUGGUCAUCUAUAAGAAGUUUAAGUUUUGUCAAGAUUGAUCUUUGGUUCGAGCCACCCUUAGUUGUGAGAUCAAUUUUCACCAUACUUAGCAUGUACCUGAGACGUGAUGUGGAGCGCGGAAGUACUAUCUACUUAGACAUAAAAAAAAUGUCAUCAAGGUUAUAACUCCAAAAAGUGCUAUCACUUGGAGAUAGAUUACUAGAGGGUGCAACGUGAAGCCAAAAUCUCUACAAGAGGAUGGAACAACUCAAGGAAAUGAACAACAUCCAAAGGCAGAGUAUCCAUAUCUCUUUGGUCACUGUCUUCCGAAUCUCGAGGACGAGAUUCAUUUUAAGGGGGGUAGAUUUGUAACACCCUAAAUUUUGCUUCUUUGAAAAUAGAGCUAAAAUAAUUUAAUUUGUAUUUUUGUGCUCAUAAAAAUAUAGAAACAAUAAUAUUUUUUCAUUAAAUUAAAAAUUAUCAUAGGAGUUAGCAAUGUGGUUGAGCAUGCAUGCCUUUGCAUUUAUUUUAUUGAGAUGUGUGGCUGUGUCGAAAAAAUUCCAAAUGAUUCAAAAUAUUUUUGAAAUGAUGUGAAAAUAGCUUUGGGAAUAAAAGAAAACAAAAAGGAAAGAGAAAAAAGGGAAAACCUCCCCCUCUUUUUUUUCCCCCUCGACCCUCUCCCGUGGCCACUUCGCCCAGCAACGAGGUCCAAUGGCCAGCUCAGACAGUGAGCCGAAGCCCAGGUCGCACGCGUUCCCCCUCCCCUCUCUCCUUUCUGCGGCUUACAGCUGGGCCCCGCCUAUCCCUCUCUCUGACCGCUGGGGCCCACUUGUCAGCGCGCGCUAUUCUUCUCCUUCCUCUGUCGUACCCGAGCUGGACACCGCACCGCCGUUUCGAUCCCCAAAACAGCGGGAUUCCCUUGCUCUUUUCGCGAACUAAGAUCCUAUAAAGCUUUCUCCUCAAAACCGCAGCUUCCUUACGCAUCUAAAAGGCGAAUCAAAACCCUAGCCGCCCUCGGUAGUCGGGACCGAGCUCCUCCAUCGCGCAGCGCGCCUCUCUCGCUACUCCUCGGCCCCAGCAAAACACUCCAGCGAGUCCGUGGUGAGCUCCUCUACCCCGUGGUAUUUUCCUUUCGCGAAACGGUGCUCGGAAUCGAGAAGCCUGUCGUCGCCGGCGAGCUUCCUUCCGGCCGGCAAUGGAGCCACCGCACCGGAACCGGAAACCUGCUGGCCGGUUGAAAAAUGCCCCUUUCUGCUAUUUACAAGUUUGCCACUGAUUUUGUUUUGCUCAUAAAAUAUUCAUUAUAACUCCGUUUUUGUCCAUUCAAAUUUCGUUAGAUUCAUAUUUCCGAGCUCUACAAGUUAGUAUUAUUAGUUUACUGAUUUGAAACUUUUUAAUUCUGCAGUAGCAUUUAAUUAAUUAUUUCUCUAUAGGAAAUCUUAGAAAAAUCAUAAGUUCUCCGUUUUAAUUCCGAUUUUCGUGAACUUUACGUUUGUGUGAUCGUAGUGCUGCGUAGAAUAUUUUUAUAAACUUUUAUAUUUGUUUUACUACUGUUUGGUGUAUUGUUCUAAUUAUAGCUUGUUUGCUUCGUGUAUGAUUGUCUACAUUGGAUUGCGUGUUGUUGAUUGAUGUUUGGGAAUAGACGGUGAGCCGUACGUUGGUAAUCAAGGUCAAGCUUUUAAAGAUCAGCAGCAGGCUCAGGAGAGCUUUGAUCAAAGCAAGUAUAACUGGGGACUAUCCUUGUUACCUAUACACAAUUAAUACAAUAUAUAUCAUAUGCAUGUGUCCACCUUGAUGACCUUAGCAAAAUCAUAGAUGAUUGUUAUCCUGAGUUCCUUGUUACCUAUUUGGAUAUGCAUUUGGGUAGUUCUUGCUAGUGCUUGAUUAAUAAUCCAUGAUCUUGUAACAUGAAUAUUUGGAUAAACAAUAAACAAUAAAAUAAGCUUUCUAGCAACUGGAAUAUAAAGGGUGGAAAGAACUCUGGCUUUUGCUGGAUUGAUCUUGACCCUCCAUAAGGACUUAUCCCUUAGCAAAAGCUGGGACAACUCGUACAACCAUGAGAACUAUAUGGCUCUGGUUUUAGCUCAGUAUGAGGACCUUUUUCUAGCUUGUUAGUGGUUACCUUAAAUAGCGUAAGAAUGGCUAGACACGUUGGGUAUAGUGUGGCUUCUGUCCAUGUGUAUAGGCUGCGAGUUAUGUGCCAUGGAAGGGGCGCUCUAUAUCUGCCUGCCGAGUGAAUCUAAUGGCCCUAACUUGUUAGACGAAACCUUUGAAAGGCUUCAUAGUGAUCCCUGCCGACCUUCCUAGGAAGGGGGUUAAGAGACUUGCAACCUCGGGCGAAAGGGUAAAUCACGACUCAUGGGUAAAGAUGUACAACCUCUGCAGAGUGUUAAAUCUGGUAUACUAGCCGUGCCCACGGAUACGGGCGGCCCGGAAAACUGACGGAAUAGACGGACACUGAAUGAACAUGAUUAAUGAUAAUAAAUGAUGGUUUAUUAUAUUGUUUAUAUGUGUUAUUCUUAAUUCUUGUAUACAUUGAUCAUGUGGUUAUGGGAUUAAUUAUGCUACCUUGAUAAUUGCUAUCACAUGAUUAACUAUGCUAUCUACAUAUAAAAGCUAAAUGCAGUCAAACCAGUGUCAGCUAUUUGAGCCUCAUGAACCCCUGGUUAUACUUGUUGAGUACGAUAUGUGCUCACUCUUGCAAUUUCCCCCACACUUCAGGAGUUGUUUUAGGCUUGUGAUCAACCAGUCAGUUGGAUCCUGGAGAGAGGAGUUAAUACCCGAAGUUUGGAGUUGUCUAUCCGCUGUUUGCUAUUAAAGGUUAUCUCUUUUAUAUUAAAUACGUUAUAUAUUUAUGCAUUGUCUUUUGAUAUUACCCUUUAUUUGUAGCUAUAUGUGA
rnacentral:lncRNA from 1 species